rnacentral:rRNA from 1 species
GACGUAGGGCGCGAGCGUUGUCCGGAUUUAUUGGGCGUAAAGAGCUCGUAGGCGGCUUGUCGCGUCGUUCGUGAAAACCUGCAGCUCAACUGCAGGCUUGCGGGCGAUACGGGCAGGCUAGAGUUCGGUAGGGGAGACUGGAAUUCCUGGUGUAGCGGUGAAAUGCGCAGAUAUCAGGAAGAACACCCGUGGCUAAGGCGGCUCUCUAGUACGGUACUGACGCUGAGACGCGAAAGCGUGGGGAGCGAACAGG